CUCGAGCGAGUGGCGAACGGGUGAGUAACGCGUGAGGAACCUGCCUCAAAGAGGGGGACAACAGUUGGAAACGACUGCUAAUACCGCAUAAGCCCACAGCUCGGCAUCGAGCAGAAGGGAAAAGGAGCAAUCCGCUUUGAGAUGGCCUCGCGUCCGAUUAGCUAGUUGGUGAGGUAACGGCCCACCAAGGCGACGAUCGGUAGCCGGACUGAGAGGUUUGAACGGCCACAUUGGGACUGAGACACGGCCCAAACUCCUACGGGAGGCAGCAGUGGGGAAUAUUGCACAAUGGGGGAAACCCUGAUGCAGCGACGCCGCGUGAGCGAAGAAGUAUUUCGGUAUGUAAAGCUCUAUCAGCAGGGAAGAAAAAAUGACGGUACCUGACUAAGAAGCCCCGGCUAACUACGUG
rnacentral:rRNA from 1 species